rnacentral:lncRNA from 1 species
GGUGAUCGCAGAGUAUUUAGGAAUGUGUCAACCAUCUCAUUAUCACUCAUAAUAAACUUCCCUUGAGCAACAUCCCACUUUUGGGUAUAGUCUUUGAAUGAUUUUGAGUCCUUUUUCAUCAUACCCUGUAGUUGUAAUCUAUGAGAUGCCACAUUCGUGUUAUAUUUGAAAUGCUUCAAGAAAGCACCCACCAGAUCCUCCCAAGACUGGAUGCACGAAUGUUCAAGAUGAUAGCCUCAGUUUAGUGGCCUGUCAGACAAUCUACCUUGGAAGGAAUGAAUUAGCAACCUUUCAUCACAUGCAUGAACUACCAUUUUUUUCCCAUACGCCAUGAGAUGAGUCUUAAGACAAAUGGUCCCUUUAUAUUUCUCACCUUUGGAAAAUUUAAACUUUUGAAUGUAUCAUCAGAUUCGGGGUUAAGCAAGCCUUGCAACAUUUUCAGACUUAACGCUUCAUUCACCUUCUAUGGCUGUCAUCCUUUUUCAGCAUUUCAAAUUUACCCCUGUCAACCUCGACAUCCACUAGUGUACAAAAGGGGAAAGAAUAUUUCAACUCAGAUUGCCUUGUCAUCGUCAUGCUCGCAAUACUUGAUUAAAGCAUUUUCCUAGGGACCAUGAAAGUGGUUGCCCCAAUCUUGUUUUACACUUCAACUUCGUUAUCUUCUGCCUUUCGAGUGCGAACUUGCCCCAAGUAUGCUCCUGAGGGUGAAGUGUAAUUUAUGGAAGACCAUGUAAGGGAAAAUUUGGGCCUCUCGAUCUUUGUGUUGAGGCUGAGGUGCACAGGAAUCUNN